GGAUAGGUAGGAGCCGUAGAGAUCGGAACGCUAGUUUCGAUGGAGGCAUUGGUGGGAUACUACCCUAGCUGUAUGAACACUCUAACCCGCGCCACUGAUCGUGGCGGGAGACUGUGUCAGGUAGGCAGUUUGACUGGGGCGGUCGCCUCCUAAAAUGUAACGGAGGCGCCCAAAGGUUCCCUCAGAAUGGUUGGAAAUCAUUCGCAGAGUGUAAAGGUAGAAGGGAGCUUGACUGCGAGACUGACAAGUCGAGCAGGGACGAAAGUCGGGCUUAGUGAUCCGGUGGUUCCGUAUGGAAGGGCCAUCGCUCAAC
rnacentral:rRNA from 1 species